CGAACACGCACACAGAGCGGGGUGCACACGCGCAGGAAUGCAUCGGAAGUCCGCCUCCGGGGACCCACCGCAGGUCCCAGGAUAAAUACAGUGACUCUAUUUCCCAUGAGCCUAUGCGCUCCCCAAAUUUAGGAACCGUCUUAAAUGUCUCUAUCUGGUCUAGCGGUUGAAAGGCUCUAUGCUAAGAGAACUGGCAACCCGGUAUCCCAGACUCAAAUUUCUCCUUAGUUUAAGGGAACGUCUUCAUGGGGAUGUCUUGACUAUCUUUAAGGGAACGUCUAGAAAGUCUCUGCUUCAAGUUUAGCAUCUUGUAGACUGUGCCCGGGGCAGUCCUGCCUUACCCGAGAGCUCAAGGCUUAAAAUCAAUGUCCAUGUGCAACCAUGACAAGUGGAACAAGAGGGUGCAUCAUACUAGCUUAUGAUUACAAUGACACAUUUAACGAAAACAUUAGUAAAUAGAGCCCAUGGAUGAAAUAAUAGAAGAUUAACCUCGGACAGGAUACCAUCCUCGCCCCAACAAGGAAAAAAGGAAUUCCAGCUUUUCCAAAUCACUUUGAAUUUGUGAUAGCUAGAAAACUCAGAGAAUAUGUACAGAAUUGAAAGAAGAAAAAAAUUACCCAGAACUCUACUUCCUGAAGAGGAUGAGGCAAGCAGAAGAAGAAAUUUGCGUUGUAAUGGAAAACGAAGCACAUUAGAAAGCCAUGUUACUUGAUUCCAACCCUGUUGAUUAUCUUUGAGGUACUUUACACCUCUUUGAAAACUGUAGGUAAUUGAUGCAAGUUAUGUUCUGUCUAGUGGAAGUUGGUUGACUUCCGACAAUCCUCACUAGAGAAAAUCCAGUUUUGACUGCAUUUCUCCAUUUACAUAAUCAUUUCAAUAUUCCUGAUCUGCAAAUAUGUCUGUUUCUCAGAUUCGCUCUCUCUCUCUCUCUUUUUUUUUUUUUUUAAUUUUGAGACAGGGUCUCACUCCGUUGUGCAUGCUGGAGUUCAGUGGGGAGAUCCUGGCUCACUGGUUCAAGCAAUUCUCCUGCCUCAGCUUCCCAAGUAACUGGGAUUUCAGGUACACACCACCACGCCCGACUAAUUUUUGAAUUUUUGAUAUAGAUGGGGGUUUCACCAUGUUGGCCAGGCUGGUCUCAAACUCCUCACCUCAAGUGAUCCACCCACCUCAGCCUCUCAAAGUGUCGGGAUUACAGGCAUGAGCCACCAUGUCCAGUCCUCAGAUUCUCUUUUGAACCAGUUGUAAUAUCUGCCGAUUUCCUCUUGAAUUAAAUAAAAUCUUUAGCAUGUGUUCAUUUCUGUAUAUCUGUAUAAGAGUCAUGAUUUUACUUUCAUGUUUUAAGGUUUUCCAGGUCUUCAGAGAAGUCGCCGAUGGAAUCACAUGACUGAGCCAGGAAAACCUCAGGAUUGGAGUGCCUCAUGAACGGUUGAAGCCCAGGUGAAUCUUUUCUUCGCUCCCAGGAAUGAGUCCAAAGUGCCAAUAGAAAUUUGCUGGCUUCUCAUUUUUCAGUAAUUUCCCCAUUUACCAAUUCUGUGUUUUACUUUGGUUUGGGUUUGUUUACAGUGCUAGCUUCACUGUUGGUAAUUUGUUUGUUGUUGUUGUUUCGAGGCAAAGUCUCGCUCUGUCACCCAGGCUGGAGUGCAGGGGUACGAUCUCAGCUCACUGCAACCUCUGCCUCCCAGGUUCAAGUGAUUCUCCUGCCUCAACCUCCUGAGUAGCUGGGACUAUAGGUGUAUGCCACCAUGCCCAGCUAAUUUUUGUAUUUUUAGUAGAGACGGGGUUUUUCCGUAUUGGCCAGACUGGUCUCGAACUCCUGACCUCAGGUGACAGACCCGCCUUAGCCUCCCAAAGUGCUAGGAUUACAGACGUGAACCACCGCGCUGGGCUAGGAAUUUGGUUUUAUGGUCUGAACACAUGGUGAUCUCUGUAAUGAGAUCAAUGUUUGCAGAGAUUUAGUCUCUAUUGGAUGAGAGACCACAGAGUCUGAUUUGUUAUUCUAUUUGUCUGUUUACUUUGAGCUGAAAUCAAUUAAGAAUUUCAUGCCCACUGGGAGGAGAAGAGCUCUUUGAUAUCUGGAAGGCCAGACGUGCCUGCUUCCCCUUUGCCUUCUGCCAUGAUUGUCAGUUUCCUGAGGCCUCCCCAGCUAUGCUUCCUGUACAGCCUGCAGAACUAUGAGUCAAUUAAACCUCUUUUCUUCAUAAAUUACCUAGUUUCCAGUAGUUUUUUAUAGCAGUAUGAAAACACACUAAUGGACCCUUCUAGUUAAAGGAAUGCAGCCAUUCUGCUUGUUUGACUAUUUCUUUUCUCUUCUUCUAUUUCCUGGGAGGUGUUUAUCCAAGUGCAAUAGGAGGUAUUGGUGACUGCACAGUCCCCUCCGUGUUCUGCUAGUAAAUAGUUGAAGGUUGAUCAGUGAUCUCCUGCAUUUUUAGUCUGGCAUGGAAAAGCCCCCACGUAACUGGUAAAGGUAUCAGUGAGCACCAGGAGGUAUCUAAAUCCACUAGGAGCCAUAGGCAUCACGUUGACGUCCAUUUACCAGUCUUCCCUGGCAAGAUUCUUCUGAAUUGUACUGCCUUGGCCAAAAGAGGUAUGGGAGGGGCUGGGCUCAGUGGCUCACACCUGUAAUCCCAGCGUUUUGGGAAACCAGUUCGGGUGGAUCAUUAGAGGUCAGGGGUUUGAGACCAUCCUGACCAACAUGAUGACAUCCCAUUUCUAC